rnacentral:rRNA from 1 species
GACGAACGCUGGCGGCGUGCCUAAUACAUGCAAGUUGAGCGCUGAAGGUUGGUACUUGUACCGACUGGAUGAGCAGCGAACGGGUGAGUAACGCGUGGGGAAUCUGCCUUUGAGCGGGGGACAACAUUUGGAAACGAAUGCUAAUACCGCAUAAAAACUUUAAACACAAGUUUUAAGUUUGAAAGAUGGAAUUGCAUCACUCAAAGAUGAUCCCGCGUUGUAUUAGCUAGUUGGUGAGGUAAAGGCUCACCAAGGCGAUGAUACAUAGCCGACCUGAGAGGGUGAUCGGCCACAUUGGGACUGAGACACGGCCCAAACUCCUACGGGAGGCAGCAGUAGGGAAUCUUCGGCAGUGGACGAAAGUCUGACCGAGCAACGCCGCGUGAGUGAAGAAGGUUUUCGGAUCGUAAAACUCUGUUGGUAGAGAAGAACGUUGGUGAGGGUGGAAAGCUCAUCAAGUGACGGUAACUACCCAGAAAGGGACAGCUAACUACGUGCCAGCAGCCGCAGUAA